UACGGAGGGGGCUAGCGUUGUUCGGAAUUACUGGGCGUAAAGCGCACGUAGGCGGCUUUGCAAGUUAGAGGUGAAAGCCCGGGGCUCAACUCCGGAAUUGCCUUUAAAACUGCAUCGCUAGAAUUGUGGAGAGGUAAGUGGAAUUCCGAGUGUAGAGGUGAAAUUCGUAGAUAUUCGGAAGAUCACCAGUGGCGAAGGCGACUUACUGGACACAUAUUGACGCUGAGGUGCGAAAGCGUGGGGAGCAAACAGG
rnacentral:rRNA from 1 species